ensembl:snRNA U6 U6 spliceosomal RNA
GUGCCCAUUUUGGCAGCAUGUAUACUUAAAUAGGAAUGAUACAAAGAACAUUAGCAUGGCCCCUGCUCAAGGAUGACAUGCAAAUUGGUGAAGCAUUUCAUAUUUUU